CAAAAGGCCCUUCUUAGGGCCACCCACCAAAUCUAUUGAAGAGCCAU
rfam:Sus scrofa chromosome 7.